GCGAUCUGGCUGCGAUAUCUGUCACCCCAUUGAUUGCCAGGGCUGAUUCCGCUGAUCUGGCUGGCUAGGCGGGUGGCUGCAUACUC
ensembl:misc_RNA 7SK 7SK RNA